GAUGAAGAACGUAGCGAAAUGCGAUAAGUAGUGCGAAUUGCAGAAUUCAGUGAAUCAUCGAAUCUUUGAACGCACAUUGCGCCCCUUGGUAUUCCAUGGGGCAUGCCUGUUCGAGCGUCAUUUGUACCUUCAAGCUCUGCUUGGUGUUGGGUGUUUUGUCUCGCCUCUGCGUGUAGACUCGCCUUAAAACAAUUGGCAGCCGGCGUAUUGAUUUCGGAGCGCAGUACAUCUCGCGCUUUGCACUCAUAACGGCGACGUCCAAAAGUACAUUUUUACACUCUUGACCUCGGAUCAGGUAGGGAUACCCGCUGAACUUAAGCAUAUCAAUAAGCGGAGGA
rnacentral:misc_RNA from 1 species